AUCGCUUCUCGGCCUAUCUGGCUAAGAUCAAAUGUGUAGUAUCUGUUCUUAUCAGCUUAAUAUCUGAUAUGGUCCUAUUUGGGCCUAUGAUAUUAAACAUAUUUUUGUAACGCGGUGCCUGGACGGGGCUUGCCCCUCCGGCGCCACGGGUUGUCUCGGCAUAGCACUGUCACCGAGUACGGCCCACACUAU